GCCUGGCUAGCUCAGUCCAUAGAGCAUGGGACUCUUAAUCCCAGGGUCAUGGGUUCGAGCCCCAUAUUAGGCA
rnacentral:tRNA from 4 species